rnacentral:rRNA from 1 species
UAGGGAAUCUUCCGCAAUGGGCGAAAGCCUGACGGAGCAACGCCGCGUGAGUGAUGAAGGUCUUCGGAUCGUAAAACUCUGUUAUUAGGGAAGAACAAAUGUGUAAGUAACUAUGCACGUCUUGACGGUACCUAAUCAGAAAGCCACGGCUAACUACGUGCCAGCAGCCGCGGUAAUACGUAGGUGGCAAGCGUUAUCCGGAAUUAUUGGGCGUAAAGCGCGCGUAGGCGGUUUUUUAAGUCUGAUGUGAAAGCCCACGGCUCAACCGUGGAGGGUCAUUGGAAAAUGGAAAACUUGAGUGCAGAAGAGGAAAGGGGAAUUCCAUGUGUAGCGGUGAAAUGCGCAGAGAUAUGGAGGAACACCAGUGGCGAAGGCGACUGUCUGGUCUGUAACUGACGCUGAUGUGCGAAAGCGUGGGGAUCAAACAGG